GCGGGCAAGCAGCAGGUUUGCCGCCAGCCUUCCAAGCUGAGCAGAGAAGGGUUCGAUUCCCUCUGCCCGCUCCA
rnacentral:tRNA from 3 species